rnacentral:RNase_P_RNA from 1 species
UGGAGGAGGCGGGCGUCCGCUGCGCUCGCACCGGGGCAGAGGAAGGUCCGGACUCCAGACGGGCAGCAUGCCGGGUAACACCCGGCCGCGGCAACGCGAGGGAAAGUGCCACAGAGAGCAGACCGCCCUCGGAUCCGACCGGGGGUAAGGGUGAAAGGGUGCGGUAAGAGCGCACCGCCUCUCCGGAGACGGAGAGGGCACGGUAAACCCCAUGCGGAGCAAGGCCGAAUAGGGGGGUCGAGGGUCGCCCGUCCCCGCCGUCCGCUGUCGCGGACGAGGCCCCCGGGUAGGCUGCUGGAGCCUCGCGGUGACGCGAGGUCGAGAGGAAUGGACGCCGCCCUUCGGGGAACAGAAUCCGGCCUACAGCCUCCUUCCGCCG